AAAAAGCUCAUGGUGGUUUCUCAUCUGCACUAUGAACACAUCAAUCAUUCAGAGGGGAAAAAUAAUAGCUCAGUUCCUAUACAGACAAACUCUGUAUUUUCCCAAUUUUUUUGCUUAAAGCCAUUACCACCCUUAGAAUGCCUUUACCGCUUGCUACCCUUCAAAAAAAGCCCUACUUAAUCUUCUGGGGUCAGGGAUCAAAUUGAGCUCUUCCCUACUUGUAGAAGUCCUUGCUGACCUUCCUUCUUGUCUUCAUACAACAAAUACUGAUUAAGCCUGUACUCUAUGUCAGGUCUCGAACCAAGAAUUGAGGGUGCAACAGAGAGGAAAACAACUGAUGCCCUCUGGGUUCCUGUAGUCUCGUAUUGUGUCUUUUGAACUAUUUUUAGCUUAACCACAAAAAUCAUGUGCAUGCUUUCAUCUAAACAUUACAUAAUGAUUACUUACUACGUGCCAGGGUGUGGGGGAUACAGGGUAUAGAGAUGAUGUAACCUUAGGCCUGAGGGAGUUUACUCUGAGUCUAGCACAGGGAAUAGACAAGUAAAGAAUUACAAUGCGAUGAGAUGCAAACGUUUCUGUGUUGAGGAGACCAGAGAUGACUUCACAGUGGCAGCACACAGACAAAGGUCAAGGGCCCUGUACUGUGAUGAGAGAGCAAUGGCAGAGACACAAGGGAGCAAAAGCAGUGCCAGGGAAGUGGCAGAGAGGCCAGCAAUAUGGACAGAGGCCAGAAGAUGAAGAAUCCCUGCCUCUCUUUACCAGGUCCUUUGGCCAGGGCAAUGGAGAGCCACUGAAGAGUAAUAAAUGGAAGAAGACUAGACCAGAUUGCAGGCUAAGGAUACAGCAAGUUAAGAAACUAGUGCAAAACUUAAGAGGACAGUAUAAUUCUGUAAGUAGCUGAUGAGAAGGAAGAGAAAAAUAUUUGGAGAACUGAAUGAUCUGAGGACAGAGUCCACACGAGGGGUGAAGGAGGAAGAUACUGAGCAUGAGAGAUCUGCAUUCCCAUCUAUGCUUUACCUUCCUUGAUGGAUGUCCUUGGAACCACAGUAGAGGGGACGGCCAUCUUGCCAGCGCAACCCAAAAGCCCCUAGUAGCGUGCCAGAAGGAAUUGGAGGUCAACCAAUCACCUAGCGACAGCACGACCUGACGCAAAAAGGCCCACCUGGACCUAAACCCGGAACCCUUGCAGCUUAAAAACCCCACCCCACCACACCUGGGGGCGACUUCCCUGACUCUCCUCCUCUCUCUCUCUCUCUGUCCCCCUGAGUCACGGAACCUCACCCAAGACCUUAGUUCCCAAAUAAAGCCUUUGACUGCUAAAA